rnacentral:lncRNA from 1 species
GAAACACUCUGUAUGGAAUCGGUGUGACAAGGAGGUGAGACCUCUUUCCUCUAAAACAGCUGUUCUCAAUCUUUCACCAGGGUUUCCACCAUCUGAAAGCACAGAUGUUUAUGUUACAAUUCAUAACAGUCGCAGAAUUAUAGUUAUGGAGUAGCGGCAAAAAUAAUUUUAUGGUUGGGGGGCUCAGCACAACAUGAGGAACUGUACUGAAGGAUCGCAGCAUUAGGGAGGUUGAGAACCAGUGCUCUAAAACAUUUCCAGCAUUGCUGUGAACUUUGUUUCCACAACAUGACUCCAACACAGCUGUGAAUUUCAGUGUGUCCCCUCUAAUUGGAAGAUCACUUUACCCACUCUGACCGUGCUGCUUUGGAGUCUGGACAUGGGGCCUUCAAACGUUCCUCCAGGAUCCUCCAUAUGCAUUGAGGCAUCAUGAGGAUGCUGACCAACUCUGACGGUGCCGUAGAGUCCUACUAGAGUCACUGGUAGCAUCAUGGUGAGUUUUAUGCAAAGGAUCCUGUGGGGCUUUAUGGAUUCAGAAUCCUGUCUCCAAUGCUCUGACAGUGCAUACGCGUGCUUGAGAAAGCACACACACACACACACACACACACACACACACACACACACACACACACUCCAGUUUGUGUUUUGUUUUAAAUGUCAGAAGAAUCCUUUUGGGGGACUAAAUAUUUCUGUAUGCUGGAUAGAAAAUUUUCAAAAUCUUGGUGCCAUUCUGAACUAGGGGGUGUUUUUGUAAACUUUCAAACACAGAUGUUGCUGAUUCCUGCUGUCUCUAAUGCUGGAGUCGUUCCUACAAAUCAGAAACUGCUUCCAUAGCCCAGCAGUUUGGAACAGAAAUACUCCAAGUUCAUCUUGA